rnacentral:rRNA from 1 species
GAUGAACGCUGGCGGCGUGCUUAACACAUGCAAGUCGAACGAAGCACCUUGAUUUGAUUCUUCGGAUGAAGAUCUUGGUGACUGAGUGGCGGACGGGUGAGUAACGCGUGGGUAACCUGCCUCAUACAGGGGGAUAACAGUUAGAAAUGACUGCUAAUACCGCAUAAGACCACAGCACCGCAUGGUGCAGGGGUAAAAACUCCGGUGGUAUGAGAUGGACCCGCGUCUGAUUAGGUAGUUGGUGGGGUAACGGCCUACCAAGCCGACGAUCAGUAGCCGACCUGAGAGGGUGACCGGCCACAUUGGGACUGAGACACGGCCCAAACUCCUACGGGAGGCAGCAGUGGGGAAUAUUGCACAAUGGGGGAAACCCUGAUGCAGCGACGCCGCGUGAGCGAUGAAGUAUUUCGGUAUGUAAAGCUCUAUCAGCAGGGAAGAAAAUGACGGUACCUGACUAAGAAGCGCCGGCUAAAUACGUG